UACGUAGGGGGCAAGCGUUGUCCGGAAUCAUUGGGCGUAAAGAGCGUGUAGGCGGCCAGAUAAGUCCGCUGUGAAAUCUCGAGGCUCAACUUCGAGCUGUCGGUGGAAACUGUCUGGCUAGAGUCCGGAAGAGGAGAAUGGAAUUCCUGGUGUAGCGGUGAAAUGCGCAGAUAUCAGGAGGAACACCGAUGGCGAAGGCAGCUCUCUGGGCCUGUUCUGACGCUGAGGAGCGAAAGCUGGGGGAGCGAACAGG
rnacentral:rRNA from 1 species